GGGCGCAUAGCUCAGUGGAAGAGCACUCGCCUUACAAGCGAGGGGUCGUAGGUUCGAACCCUACUGCGCCCACAA
rnacentral:tRNA from 1 species